GAGCAAAGGCGUCUAAGAAAAGAUGGCGCGAUAUUUGCAUUGAAGGUUGGCUAAAUCGAAAAAGCAAUUCUCCGUGCCUCUCACUACUUCCCAUUUUGAUGACGGCCUCGAACAAAUUGCUACAUU